GCCGAUCAAUCGAGUAGGAACCAACACCGUGGCCGUUGUUCGAAAGUCAACCGUACCGUUGUUGGAAAGAAUCGAAGCCGAGGACUCUACUACCCGGAACUCAAUACGAUUCAACCAAAGCAAAGGCUUUGUUAGAGGAGCCGUUGGAUACAACCCGGAAGUAGGAACCAUAACCGAAACUAGACAUAUGAGCCGCAAUCGGGGUAGCCGUUGAAGGGGAAGUAGUAGUGAAAGUUGGACUCUCUAAAUAUUCUCCAGUCUAUGGGCAUGAUUACUACAAUUCAAAUCAUCCGAUUUGCUUUAAGGAAGUGUGGGUGUGUACUACUCUUUAUCUUCUUUUAGCAAAUAUUUGUAAUUUAUGUCCGCUUCGCCCCUCCCACCUAGUACUAGCUGGAUUGCCCACCCAGUAAUAUUAAUAAGCUUUCCGACCCUAUCCUUUAGGCUACUUCCCGACUUCCCUAAUAAAAAUAUACCAUACCAAGUUUCCUAAUCCUACUAGCUUGCCUUCCUAUUUGAGAACCAACCUACUUGAAAGGCCUAGCCACAAGAGUGCCUCCCCGAUAAGUGGUUGUCUACUUCCUUGAAGCCCUACUUCCCUUGAGAAUUUCUUUAAACAAGUAUUGGCGUAGGAAAAGGGGAUUCUAUAAAAUUAGAAAAAAAAAAAGCAUGUGCUUUCGCUAUCCCGGUAUUCGCUCGCAACGCAAGUCUCGUAUUAUUCGUACUUCUAGAGUAGAGCUCGUACCUCUAUAUACGCAUUUCUCUAGCGCUAGGUUCGCCUAUUUCUGGUUUAAGCAUUGAUUUCCCAGCUAUAUUAGAAUAAGCUGUUCCGCUGUUCCGAGGAGAGAGAUUUCGAAGCCUUUGAUGCACCUGGCUGACUGAAUCAAUGAAGUUCAAUUGGCGGCUUUGUCGGUCAAUCACCCGUGGCUACUGCUCUCUUCUCCCGCCGCUUAUUCAUUCAGGCAGUGGAUUCGAACCACUGAAGGAUUUCGAGUCCUUUGCUCUAACCACACAAACAAGGAUUUGCAGUCCUGGGAACCUUUGCUUAUUCAGGGCUCUUCAAUAAGCAAACUGGCAUUUUUUAUCAUCUUUUCACUAUAUUCUAUUUGCGAUAGAUGGUGAUCAAAGAGCUUCUUCUUGCAGCGGGGCAUCUUGGAUCGGGCUUUCGCCCAUUGAAGACCUUGUCUUGUUGUGGAGCCCGGGAUAGAGGAGUUUUCUCUCUUUCUUGGAGUCACCAAGAGUGUGGGGAGAGGUGGAUCUUCAAUCAAAGGUAGGAAGUUAGUCUUGCUUGCCAUCGUGCCUCUUUUGACAUGCCCCCUAUUAUCGGGAUGUUCACCAUGAUUCCUUAUUCUGGGUGCUUCCCAUUGUACGGAUUCCUUUUCUUUGCUUUUCAUAUUUCUUGGGAAAAUGUAUUAGAUCCUUGAUAGACGCCCCCCUCCCUUAAGACCAACUGCUAGAGUUACCUUCCCGCUCCGGAGUUCACUGACCGCUUGGGCGAGGGCAGGAUGCGGGUACCAUGCCAGGUUGGAAGGCUAGAGUCAGAAGUUGAGUUCUGAGCACGGGUUUGAUAAUUCAAAACUUCUAUUUUUACUGCUACUAAGGUUCCGGAUCACAUUUAGGUCAAAACGUGCCUAGAAAUGGAAUUUCCUUGAUUACAGUCUGCCCUGGAGCAUACGUAGCUCCAUUUUGAACUUCUGCCCUUCUCUUCUGCCUAUUCAGAAAUCUUCUAUCUAUCAACAUAGCAUUAUAGAUCACGUGAGAAGUCGCCCGCCCAUUUCCAGAGUUCUACGUUUGUCCUGGCUCCUUUCAUUCCAUGCAUUCCUUUCCAUGCAUCAUAGUAGUCUUCCUCUCCUUUUUGUCCCAAACAUUCUCCUCAUUCUAUUCCAUCCAAGGCUCCUCAUUCAUCCAUCGGAUAGGACGCCAAAUCAGUUGAACAACACAGAGAACGAUGAGAAAGUUUUCUUGGUAGCCUUGGUCUCUAAAAGGGGUUCUAUCCCUCUUCCGUCCGCUUUCUUUUUUUUGCACCCAGAAUCUCCUUGAAGUAGAAAGGGAAAGCCACUCGAUCACAGCCUGACUUCCUCCAGAUGAAAGCAUUGGUAGUGACGACCGACUGUUUUAUUCUUCUUCUUUUCUUUAGACAUUUUUUAUUCUCCUUUUUUCUUAUCCGCGUCGAAAGAGAUCGAUCGGGGUCAACUAGCAACCUCUUGGAAAUGAUCCGCCUUCCAACCUAUAGAAGAGACUUAAGGUUCAAAUAUUUUGAUUCAAUCGAAUCUACUCCUGCUAUACUCCAAAUAUAUUUAAGACAAAUCCGCCUCAUCAAAACGGGGGAAGGACGAAUAGGAAAGGAAAUAGGAGACUUCUACCUUGAGAUCUGCCUAGUAACCUCCGAGGGAUUUUGAUACAAAAAGACCAAACAAAAUCUUGAUUCUCAUUACAAAGUGCAGCCAGCACACCUAUUUCCCCUUAGCUGGUAAAGGCUCAUCAUUCAGUCAGGGCUUUCUC
rnacentral:lncRNA from 1 species